rnacentral:rRNA from 1 species
GAACGCUGGCGGCGUGCCUAAUACAUGCAAGUCGAACGGUCUUUCUAUGGAAGCUUGCUUCCACUGAAAAGAUAGUGGCGAACGGGUGAGUAACACGUGGGUAACCUGCCCAUAAGAGGGGGGAUAACAUCCGGAAACGGGUGCUAAUACCGCAUAGUUUUCUUGAUCGCAUGAUCGGGAAAGGAAAGACGGCCUUUGUGCUGUCGCUUAUGGAUGGACCCGCGGCGUAUUAGUUAGUUGGUGAGGUAACGGCUCACCAAGACGAUGAUACGUAGCCGACCUGAGAGGGUGAUCGGCCACAUUGGGACUGAGACACGGCCCAAACUCCUACGGGAGGCAGCAGUAGGGAAUCUUCCGCAAUGGACGAAAGUCUGACGGAGCAACGCCGCGUGAGUGAAGAAAAGGUUUUCGGAUCGUAAAACUCUGUUGUCAGAGAAGAACAAGUUGGAGAGUAACUGCUCCAGCCUUGACGGUAUCUGACCAGAAAGCCACGGCUAACUACGUGCCAGCAGCCGC